rnacentral:rRNA from 1 species
GGAUGAACGCUAGCGGGAGGCUUAACACAUGCAAGUCGAGGGGCAGCAUAGGGUAGCAAUACUCUGAUGGCGACCGGCAAACGGGUGAGUAACGCGUAUGCAACCUACCCUGUACAGGGGGAUAACCCGGAGAAAUUCGGACUAAUAUCCCGUAAUAAUAUCCGGAGGCAUCUUUGGGUAUUUAAAGUUCCGACGGUACGGGAUGGGCAUGCGUAACAUUAGCUGGUUGGUAAGGUAACGGCUUACCAAGGCUAUGAUGUUUAGGGGUCCUGAGAGGGUGGUCCCCCACACUGGUACUGAGACACGGACCAGACUCCUACGGGAGGCAGCAGUGAGGAAUAUUGGUCAAUGGGCGCAAGCCUGAACCAGCCAUCCCGCGUGCAGGAAGACGGCCCUAUGGGUUGUAAACUGCUUUUCCAGGGAGAGAAACUUACGCACGUGUUGCGUGACUGACGGUACCCUGGGAAUAAGCAUCGGCUAACUCCGUGCCAGCAGCCGCGGUAAUACGGAGGAUGCAAGCGUUAUCCGGAUUCAUUGGGUUUAAAGGGUGCGUAGGCGGGCUAUUAAGUCAGUGGUGAAAUCCUGCAGCUUAACUGCAGAACUGCCGUCGAUACUGAUAGUCUUGAGUUUGGUUAAGGUAGGCGGAAUGUGUAAUGUAGCGGUGAAAUGCUUAGAUAUUACACAGAACACCAAUUGCGUAGGCAGCUUACUGAGCCGACACUGACGCUGAGGUGCGAAAGUGUGGGGAUCAAACAGGAUUAGAUACCCUGGUAGUCCACACAGUAAACGAUGUGCACGAGGUGCUGGGGCGGUAGUUUCAGUGCCGGAGCGAACGCGGUAAGUGCACCGCCUGGGGAGUAUGCUCGCAAGGGUGAAACUCAAAGGAAUUGACGGGGGCCCGCACAAGCGGUGGAGCAUGUGGUUUAAUUCGAUGGUACACGAGGAACCUUACCUGGGUUUGACAUACGGAGGGAAGUGGCAGAGAUGUCACUGCGUAGAGAUACGGCUCCGUACAGGUGCUGCAUGGCUGUCGUCAGCUCGUGCCGUGAGGUGUUGGGUUAAGUCCCGCAACGAGCGCAACCCCUACUGUCAGUUACUAACAGGUUAAGCUGAGGACUCUGGCGGAACUGCCGGUGACAAACCGGAGGAAGGUGGGGAUGACGUCAAGUCAUCAUGGCCCUUAUGUCCAGGGCUACACACGUGCUACAAUGGGCGAGACAGAGUGAAGCGAAGCCGAGAGGUGGAGCAAAUCGCAGAAAAUCGCUCUCAGUUCGGAUUGGAGUCUGAAACUCGACUCCAUGAAGGUGGAAUCGCUAGUAAUCGCGCAUCAGCAUGGCGCGGUGAAUACGUUCCCGGGCCU